UUUUUGCACUAGGGGAGCUUUAGGCUGAGAAGAACUUUGUUCUGACCCUUAUUACCCGAUCUGGAUAAUACCAGCGUGGGGAAGUGCAGGUGAAGCUCU
rnacentral:ncRNA from 2 species